rnacentral:lncRNA from 1 species
GUUGUCUCUCGCACUCACUUACUCUUCCUUCUUUCGCCACUGUGCCAGACAAAUUUAAAUGUAUCUGUUCAAGUGGAGAUAAUCCAUGCAAAUCAGAGCCACUGCUCCCAAGUGCUCGAUUCACAAAGAGAACUCUGCUUGAGGAGGUCACUCGUUCACAGCUGCUCCUCCCAUUAUAUUUCUCCCCCUUAUAGCAGAACUGCUGCUUGUAUACACUGACUGAAAGGACUCAAUUUACUGCAACUGCUGCCUGGUUUUACUUACAACUUUCUUUAAAGCGGGACAUACCUUCCAGCUAUCUUGCAAAGAAAGAUGUAAGUCUUUAAAGACAUCUUCUCAUAUGGUGUGGAAAAGUAUGGUUUUAAAGUUAUGCCUCCAUAGCAGCAGGCCUAGAAGCGACAGUAAUCAAGUCUGGAGCCCACCUCCAGUCUCAUAUGGCUCUUGAACUUGACAUCACUGAGCACUAGAAUCCACUGGCAGCUGAACUACUCUGGAGCUGGUAGGAUACUGAACAUCUCCCACUGAAGGCAGAGCAAGUGAAGUCACAGGUAGGUCAAGUACACCUAUAUACAGUGCAUAAAUUGUAUUUUGAAGGGUAGCAUAGUUGAANGAACUGAGUGCUAGAGUAGAACCUAGGAGGUUCAAAUCCCCAGUCAGCUAUGAAACUACACAGGGUGACUCUGAAUUGCUCAUUGUCUCACAGCCUAAUAUACCUCUCAAGGUUGCUGUAAAGAUAAAAUGGAAGAGAGGAGAAUAGUGUUUGAUAUCAAGGGUGUGCUCACACUUUGGCCUAGUAAGCACUUUGUUGAGGCCUGAGUGCCUGAG